CCUACGGGAGGCAGCAGUGAGGAAUAUUGGUCAAUGGCCGGAAGGCUGAACCAGCCAAGUCGCGUGAAGGAUGACUGCCCUAUGGGUUGUAAACUUCUUUUAUAUGGGAAUAAAACGUUCCACGUGUGGGAUUUUGUAUGUACUAUAUGAAUAAGGAUCGGCUAACUCCGUGCCAGCAGCCGCGGUAAUACGGAGGAUCCGAGCGUUAUCCGGAUUUAUUGGGUUUAAAGGAAGCGUAGGUGGGUUGUUAAGUCAGUUGUGAAAGUUUGCGGCUCAACCGUAAAAUUGCAGUUGAGACUGGCAGUCUUGAGUACAGUAGAGGUGGGCGGAAUUCGGGGUGUAGCGGUGAAAUGCUUAGAUAUCACGAAGAACUCCGAUUGCGAAGGCAGUUCACUAGACUGCAACUGACACUGAUGCUCGAAAGUGUGGGUAUCAGACAGGAUUAGAUACCCCAGUAGUC
rnacentral:rRNA from 1 species